AUGAUUCAAUUUUGUUAUUUUCCUUCAGUGCCUGGACCCGAGGCAAGAUCCUCAGCUGGGAUAAAUCAGCUCCACUUCCCUGUGGCCAAGGGAGGUAGGAAGAUGCACAGUGGUUCUGGACACAACCUGCCUUGUUUGGAGACUGGACCUCUUUUCCCUGCUGUUUUGGGAAGAAGCAGCAGAUACUGGCCUCUCUAUGCAGCCUGAACUCAGAG
rnacentral:lncRNA from 1 species